UACGGGAGGCAGCAGUGAGGAAUAUUGGUCAAUGGACGCAAGUCUGAACCAGCCGCGUCGCGUGAAGGAAGACGGCCCUACGGGUUGUAAACUUCUUUUAUACGGGAAUAAAGUGCCCCACGCGUGGGGUUAUGCAAGUACCGUACGAGUAA
rnacentral:rRNA from 1 species